rnacentral:miRNA from 1 species
AUUUUUGUAGAUCACACCGUGA